rnacentral:rRNA from 1 species
CCACACGACUCUCGGCAACGGAUAUCUCGGCUCUCGCAUCGAUGAAGAACGUAGCGAAAUGCGAUACCUGGUGUGAAUUGCAGAAUCCCGCGAACCAUCGAGUCUUUGAACGCAAGUUGCGCCCGAGGCCACCUGGCCGAGGGCACGCCUGCCUGGGCGUCACGC